ACAGUCGUGAAAAUCACGGUAAUUUAAACAUGCGUUUAACCGAACUUCGCUCAGAAUAUUAUUUCGUUAACAGUGAUUUAUCGUCACGUACAUUAAAAAAAAUAAAACUUUCUGUAUUCUUUUUUUCGACAUCUCACCAAUGAAAGCUACAUAUUCAGUUUUUUCAUUAUUGUAUACUAUUUUAAUGUAUACUUACACGUGAUUGAAUGUAGGGAAAUAUUAUGGGCAUGUUUGAAAUAUUCUACCGGCAUAUCAUCAACGAAAACCCGGAAACCAAAGCGUAUUUCCGACCGUGUGAUGUUUCCGAUAGCGGAUGUAGAUUUGACCCUGAAGAGAAACGGGAUUUACGCAGACGGGUAGUUUGAGAUUUUAUUGCGGUCACGUGUUUUAAUCAAUCGUGAUCCAUGACAAACACGGUAGUAGU